rnacentral:lncRNA from 1 species
GGAAAUGUGCUGGAAAGCUUCCAUGAAGUUCUCUUGCUCUUAGGAGAGACCUACAGGACGAGGUGGUCUCUCUUUUUCCUCAAAAUAGUCAUGCUUCUGUUGCGAUCUGGAAGUGCUACAGCCAUCUUGCUACCUCCCUGAGAAUGAAGCUUCCACUGGGGAUGGCUUCCACUGGAGAAAUGGAAAAAAAAGAUCCCAUCCUGGAUCUCACAUUUAAUCAUCAUGUGUCCUCAGGCUCCUCUGUGGCAGUUUCUCAGUCUUUUCUUAUUUUUGAUGACCUUGACAAUUUUGAGGAGUUCUGGUCAGCUCCUGUGUGUGUUUUCUGCGAUGGCCGCACCUGCAACUUUCCAGAGACAUGUUCUUGGGCAGCUGGAGGAAGAUGGAAGUGCAUGGGAGUCUAUCCCACUCUAAACCCUACCCCAGUGGCCCUUAGCCACUGACUGACUGCUACAGGAAUAAAAACACAGUUUAUUUGCUUCAAGUUGGGAUAAACUCCAAGGCAGAAUUUAUACUGCAGAGCUCCCCUGUGGGAUCAGGUUUAAGCUGAGACUCUGCCUCAAAUCCCACCCGCACUUUCCUCCUUGCCUACCCCUGUCCUGCUCCCCCACUCCCUUACUGGCUGCCCCUCCUUAAUAAAUCACUU